CCCUUAGAUGUCCUGGGCUGCACGCGCGCUACACUGAUGUGUCCAGUAAGCACCUAACCUCUUCUGAAAGGAACGGGUAACCUUUGCAAAGCACAUCGUGAUGGGGAUAGAUUAUUGCAAUUAUUAGUCUUGAACGAGGAAUUCCUAGUAAGCACAAGUCAUCAGCUUGUGUUGAUUACGUCCCUGCCCUUUGUACACACCGCCCGUCGCUCCUACCGAUUGAAUGUUCCGGUGAGCUCUUCGGACUGCGCGGUCUGCAGUUUCUGCGUUCCGUGCGGAAAGUUGCGCAAACCUUAACAUUUAGAGGAAGGAGAAGUCGUAACA
rnacentral:rRNA from 1 species